CCUACGGGUGGCAGCAGUGAGGAAUAUUGGUCAAUGGACGCAAGUCUGAACCAGCCAUGCCGCGUGCAGGAUGACGGCUCUAUGAGUUGUAAACUGCUUUUGUACGAGGGUAAACCCCGAUACGUGUAUCGGGUUGAAAGUAUCGUACGAAUAAGGAUCGGCUAACGUCGUGCCAGCAGCCGCGGUAAUACGGAGGAUCCGAGCGUUAUCCGGAUUUACUGGGUGUAAAGGGUGCGUAGGCGGUUUGAUAAGUUAGAGGUGAAAUGUCGGGGCUCAACCCCGGAACUGCCUCUAAUACUGUGGGACUAGAGAGUAGUAGAGGUAGGCGGAAUGUAUGGUGUAGCGGUGAAAUGCUUAGAGAUCAUGAAGAACACCGAUUGCGAAGGCAGCUUACCAAACUAUAACUGACGUUGAGGCACGAAAGCGUGGGUAGCAAACAGGAUUAGAUACCCGAGUAGUC
rnacentral:rRNA from 1 species